ACAAUGAUACUUCCCUACGGGGCUGGCGGAGAUACCGGCAGAGGUGAAAGUCCUAUGA
rnacentral:ncRNA from 1 species